rnacentral:tRNA from 1 species
GUUUUUGGGGAUAGAGGGACUUGAACCCUCACGAUUUUAAAAGUCGACGG